GUUCUCGCUUCGGCGGUACAUAUACUAAAAUCGUAGCGAUACAGAGAAGAUUAGCAUGACAUCUGCACAAGGAUGACUUCCAUGUGUAUGGGUGUAUGGGUAUAAAA